rnacentral:pre_miRNA from 2 species
AGGACGAAGUUAGUGUUCUCUACACUCUAAAUCUGAAAGGAUAUGAUAGUAAACCUCUGCUGCUAGUUCAUGGAUACCUAUGUUUUCGUAACAAUACGUGUUUCAACGAAAUCAAGGGUUUGCAUGAAUUGGGAGAAGAGUUUACUUUGAUCUUUUGGUUUUGGAGUGAAGGGAGCACUACUGGUUUUCCUC